CAGCAAGGCUGGCCCACGUGAGCACCUGGAGCAUCAUUUCUGCUGCCACAUGCUUGGGCUGCCCCACCCCGCCGUGCCCUGCUCAGCCGUGCCCUGCUCCAUCUCCCUCGCCAGGCCUGAGACCGGCCCCCAGUGUGUUGUGACUCCUGAGGUCUCUCAGCUCUCCCUCAACCCCCAGGAGAAUUGCUCUCCACUCCAGAAGCCGCCUGAUGGGGAGGCUGACCCCUCUCCAGGACUGACUGAUCCAGGUACAAAGGGUCCCCUUGCGGCAGUGGUGGAGCACCCUGUACAGCAGUUUGGGCUCUGGGCUCUCCUUUGAGAUCAGGCCAAUGCCUGAGUCAUCCUGGCUUGACAAGGUGGGAUGAAGGUCUCCUCCACCUCCAGGUUCCUUCCUUCCCUCCUUUAUAGGUUUAUCCUGACAGUAACCUCUCCCCAGGUCGGAAGACCUCUCAGGCUCUGUUUCUAGGGAGGCUGACCUGCUGACAAUGCUCCUAGCUGGAUUUUGUAAGCGGUCUUGAAUAAAGUCUUCCUCACUGUUUUAACAAGAGACAAGGUAAUGUUCAUUGAACAUCUUAUACAAAGAGGAAACCUGGCACAGAAGUGGACAUGCACUCGGAGGGAAAAUGCCAAGUGACAAUGAAGGCAGAGAUCAGGUGAUGCAUCUGCAAGCUGAGCAACAUCAGGAAUUGCCAAAAACCACCAGGAGCUGGAGAGGCCUGGGACAGAGCCUCCCACGGAGCCUCAAGGGAGCCAGCCCUGCCCACGCCUUGAUCUUUGACGUCCGACCUCAAGAACUAUGAAAGAACCCAUUUCUGUUGGUGAAGGCUCCCCGUCUGUGGUCCCCUGUCCUGGCAGCCCUAGGAACCUGACCUCUGGUCCCUCUGCAUCCCUGGCAUCACUCUGCCUCCCUCUCUUUUUCUCCAGUGAAUCCAACACACUCUCAGUGAGACAGCCAGGUGGCAAGGGGUUCUCGGAGAAACUCCAGCCGGCCUGCUCGCUGGGCAUGUACACUGGAGUGGAGCCACAGAAGUUCACGGUGUUUGCAGCAGGGAGGAGCCUGGCCACUCCUCUUCCUGGUUGGAACCUGGAAUUUAUUUUGUGAGGCGGGAAGCCUAUACUGGGGAGACUCUUGCUCUGCUGAGUCCCCAUUCCCCCUUUAUUUUC
rnacentral:lncRNA from 10 species